rnacentral:rRNA from 1 species
CAGUCGCCGCGGGAAUACGAAGGGGGCUAGCGUUGCUCGGAAUCACUGGGCGUAAAGGGUGCGUAGGCGGGUCUUUAAGUCAGGGGUGAAAUCCUGGAGCUCAACUCCAGAACUGCCUUUGAUACUGAAGAUCUUGAGUUCGGGAGAGGUGAGUGGAACUGCGAGUGUAGAGGUGAAAUUCGUAGAUAUUCGCAAGAACACCAGUGGCGAAGGCGGCUCACUGGCCCGAUACUGACGCUGAGGCACGAAAGCGUGGGGAGCAAACAGGAUUAGAUACCCCCGUAGUCCCUGUCUCUUAUAC